rnacentral:rRNA from 1 species
UACGGAGGGUGCAAGCGUUAAUCGGAAUUACUGGGCGUAAAGCGCACGUAGGCGGCUUCUUAAGUCGGUGGUGAAAUCCUGGAGCUCAACUCCAGAACUGCCUUCGAUACUGGGAAGCUUGAGUCCGGGAGAGGUGAGUGGAACUGCGAGUGUAGAGGUGAAAUUCGUAGAUAUUCGCAAGAACACCAGUGGCGAAGGCGGCUCACUGGCCCGGUACUGACGCUGAGGUGCGAAAGCGUGGGGAGCAAACAGG